UUUUUUACAUAUGCAAACAGAGCUCAUAUUUUUUUACUACAAAAUAAAAAAUACAUUAUUAUAAUUUUCAAACAUAUAUAGUAUUUUAUGUUCUAAGACCUAGUUCUUGAUUAAAAUUACAAUUGUCUAGUAUGAGAAAAAACUAUUUUACAAUUGAAAUCCCUACAACUGGCUAAAUCAUUUAUGUAUUUUAAAUUUCAUACAUUUUUAAAUUAAAGAAUAUUGUGCAUGUAUAUAUAUAUAUAUAUAUAUGUAUAUAUAAUUAUUAUUGAUAAUUGUGAAUUUUCAUUAUAUUUGAUGUAUUAAUAUAAUAUUAGAAAAUAUAUGAAAUUCCAAAGUUUGUUGAUUUGUGCUUGGAUAUUUGUGAUCUGGUGGCUUAUUUUCAAUUCUGUAUUACCUAGACUGUCUUGAUGUUUUUUACAGCAAUUAAAUUUAUUUCUAUUUUUCUAUAUUUUUUAAAAAAUAGAAUACAAAAUCAUGUGUUUGUUUUGUUGAUGAAACUAUUGAAUUCUUUCAUGUAUUUUUUAUUUAUAAAAAAUAAUACGUUUCUUUUUUCUUUCUUUCUUUCUUUCUCUCUCUCUCUCUCUCUCUUUUUUUUUUUUUUUUUUUUUUUUUUUUUUCAUUAUUUUGUAAAUUGUACAAGUAUUGUCUUUUUAGGAUACAAUCUAGAUUUAUUUAUUUAUUUUAGAUAUUUUUUAAAAUUAUAAUUACAGAAAGUAUUGUCUGUAAAGUAUUUAUUUUUGUUUCUUUUUGUUUUUCCAUCUUAUAACAGUGUGUUUAAUUUGAAAAAUAUUACAACCAUUAGAAAAAAAGUGUUUAUUAAAUUGAGACAUGAGAUGG
rnacentral:lncRNA from 1 species